AGUCAUAUGAUUGUAUCAAAGAUUAAGCCAUGCAUGUCUCAGUAUAAGCUUCUACACGGCGAAACUGCGAAUGGCGUAUUAAAACGGUUAUAGUUUAUUUGGUGGUCACUCAUUAUAUGGAUAACCAUGGUAAUUCUAGAGCUAAUACAUGCGCCCAGACCCAACUUUGCGGAAGGGUUGUGUUUAUUAGGUACAGAACCAACCCAGGCUCUGCCUGGUCUUUUGGUGAUUCAUGAUAACCGAACGAAUCGCAUGGCAUCAGCUGGCGAUGAACCAUUCAAGUUUCUGACCUAUCAGCUUCCGACGGUAGGGUAUUGGCCUACCGUGGCAAUGACGGGUA
rnacentral:rRNA from 1 species